rnacentral:misc_RNA from 1 species
CCGAGUUAGGGUUGCGUCCUACGCGCCCGACCUCCCAACCCUUUGCUUACUUGACCUUUUGUUGCUUCGGCAGGCCCGCCGCCCGGUCACACGGGCGGCCGCCGGGGGUUCUUAACCGACUCCGGGCCCGCGCCUGUCGAUGGCCCUUUAUAAAACUCUUGUUAAAACGUGUCGUCUGAGUAUACAAAACAAAUAAAUUA